GCCUCGGUAGCUCAGUAGGUAGAGCAGCGGACUGAAAAUCCGCGUGUCGCCAGUUCGACUCUGGCCUGAGGCACCA
rnacentral:tRNA from 1 species